rnacentral:rRNA from 1 species
UACGAAGGGGGCUAGCGUUGUUCGGAUUUACUGGGCGUAAAGCGCACGUAGGCGGAUUGUUAAGUGAGAGGUGAAAUCCCAGGGCUCAACCCUGGAACUGCCUUUCAUACUGGCAAUCUCGAGUCCGGAAGAGGUGAGUGGAACUCCUAGUGUAGAGGUGGAAUUCGUAGAUAUUAGGAAGAACACCAGUGGCGAAGGCGGCUCACUGGUCCGGUACUGACGCUGAGGUGCGAAAGCGUGGGGAGCAAACAGG